rnacentral:rRNA from 1 species
AUUGAACGCUGGCGGCAUGCCUUACACAUGCAAGUCGAACGGUAACAGGUUAAGCUGACGAGUGGCGAACGGGUGAGUAAUGUAUCGGAACGUGCCCAGUCGUGGGGGAUAACUGCUCGAAAGAGCAGCUAAUACCGCAUACGACCUGAGGGUGAAAGCGGGGGAUCGCAAGACCUCGCGCGAUUGGAGCGGCCGAUAUCAGAUUAGGUAGUUGGUGAGGUAAAGGCUCACCAAGCCGACGAUCUGUAGCUGGUCUGAGAGGACGACCAGCCACACUGGGACUGAGACACGGCCCAGACUCCUGCGGGAGGCAGCAGUGGGGAAUUUUGGACAAUGGGCGCAAGCCUGAUCCAGCCAUGCCGCGUGCGGGAAGAAGGCCUUCGGGUUGUAAACCGCUUUUGUCAGGGAAGAAAAGGUUCUGGCUAAUACCUGGGACUCAUGACGGUACCUGAAGAAUAAGCACCGGCUAACUACGUG